CCUCUACUUGCCCUCUCCUUUGCCUUGCAUCUGAGUCGGUCAGCGCGAUAUCAAAACCUGGCGGCCUGGGCCUCGCCGUCGCCGAGGAAAGCGGCUUGCCCUUUAGCGGCGUCGGCGCGGGCGAGCAGAGGGCGAUCCUUCUCCACCCAUGGCGUGUGGUGGUCUGCGUCUAUCAUCAUAGCAUGGACGUAGGCGCAAGCGUAACCUCAGGACCCAGACGUACAUACAAGUCCGUGAGAGAUGUUGCGGCCGUGGAUGGAGUGGCGGCCGUGGAUGGAGUAACCUCAUCCCAGCGUGUCCACGGGCUUCGUACCGGUCGGUGCCAUCGCGACGCCGUAGCCAUCUCAAUGAUGGGAGCAGAACGAGAAUUGGUGGCUCGUUCGCUGGCAACACGUUUUGAGGCUUGCCCUGCUACAUGUCAGAAUUCGCCACGGCCAGUCCAGGGCUUCAACUUCGUAUUGUUUUGAAGGGAUCCAUGAGUUGUUGUUUGAGUUAGAUCGAACCGAUCGAUUUGUAACGCUCCACUAUUGCAUUCUUUUGACGGUCCCAAGGAAGACAUGAGGUAUAUUUGACAAAGAGGAAGCAACUACUGUCAUCGGUGUCCUCUACUAAAUUCCGAUCUUUGCCACCUCCCUCUUAAGAUCUCCCAUGCAUCCACUGCACCACCUGCAUGCUGUUGGAUGGCAGUGGGGUGUCCAAGCAUGUGGAAGGCCUAUCCGCUGUGGCGGCGCAGCUCAGCUCUGAAAGGAGAACAAUUCCAAGGACCAACCACGUAUACCACAACUCCUAAACCACUGUAAGAUUGUAAUUAAAUUGCUUUAUCAAUCAAUCAUAAGCUACAAUUAACCAGUGUAAUUUCCAUGUGCAACACCAGAGACCUUUUGAUUGAAUUGGUGGUAUUUUUCUGACCCAAAUCAGUUCAUAGUCAUGCUAGCCUGAUACAAUUAUCAUAUCCUUUUGUCCUGUCAAUAGAUGGGCUUUUGUCAUGUCAUGUUGAUGGUCUUUUGUCCUGUCAAGCAGAUGGUUAAUUACUGGACAAGUAGAGCAUGGCAUUUUUCAUGUGCAAUAGCCUCGAUCCACACUCACAAGCCGCAGAGGCUACUUCAACUCAAGUGGCUUGAUAAGUUUUUUACUAUGUGUACUCAUGUAUUAUUUAGGUCAGAAUAGUAUCAUAUUUGAUUGGUGCCCUCAGUUCAUAACACACACUAAUAGGUUACUUCUUUCUGGCUUUAACUUUGAAGCCUAAAUAAGUAUCUUUUUAUUGGCACUCAUGUAUUAUUUAGGUUAGAAUAGUAUCAUAUUUGAUUGUGCUUGCAGUCAUUUGUGAUUCUCAGUUCGUGUAUAAUAUAUGUUCGCAAGACAUAAAUUUAGAACUUUUGGCACAUAUGUACUUUAAUAUUCUUGCACACUUUUAUUCCUUGAUUUUUUUUCCAUUGAAGAUGUGUCAAGUUAGUCUAUAAUUAUUUCAUCAGAGCUCAUAACAUGGCAUGGUUUGAAGCAUCAACCAAUAGCUUCAUUCGUUGUGCUCCUGGGACCUGGACAUAUCCUUCAUGCCAAUAAGUUUAUUUAGUGAUGACACCUGAACGUGUAACUCAUAUUUCUUUAGAAAUUUAAAAGUUUUUUUCUUAUACUGAUGGUUCAUUGUGCGGUGUGGUAACCCUGAUUGACAUGAUUGUGAUGAUAGUUUUGUUGGUAUGGAUUUUCAGAAGUCAAGCACACAUACUCAUGAACGUUGUGCUGCCUAUUUGUUAUCCAUCCAUACUGCAUAAGGUUUUCAUGGAUGGCUGUUGAGCCAAUCUCAAAUGAAUAGCUGGAUAUCAGAUGUAGCGCCAUCAUGUGUCCCUAACAAAAUUGAAGUUUUUUCUUUGGUAGGACUGGGAAGUUCUGUAGAUUAUAAUCAUAAUUACUAAAGAUGAGGGCAACCUUAUCUCCGACACCUGUCAGAGCUUGAUAUAUGAAGUGCCGUGCAGUGGCAUGUGGAGCAGGUUUUGUGACUUUUUUCCCGUUGCAACGCACCUGAAGGUCUGAGGUAAACUACUCACACAUCAUCGGAGGGGCCAUGGAGUUGGUGUA